GGCACGGCAACUCACUCCGGUAUUCUUGCCUGGAGAAUCCCAUGGACAGAGAGCCUGGAGAGCUACAGUCCAUAGCAUCGCAAAGAGUCAGACACGACUGAAGCAACUGAGCACACACGCACAAAUAAGGAUUAAAGGCAAGGGAAAGCCCCACAGGGUGAGGCAACAAAAUGUCAUCUCGGGGUAGCUCCACUGCUGAAUGAAUCAGACCCUCGUGUGCUUGCUGAGUCACCUCGGGUAAGCUUGAUACUGGAAAUGCAAUACAGGGGACCUUUGAACAAUGUGGAUCUCAGCUGCUCGGGUCCACUUACACGAGGAUAUUUUUCAAUAAAUAUAUGUAUGUGCUGCAAAUGUA